rnacentral:lncRNA from 1 species
AAAAAUAUGAUAUUUGUAUGGAUGUUCAAACCUUCAAAAAGGAAAUUUUCUGGUAUUAGAUACUAGCUAACAAUAUUUGAAAGUGCAAACUUGAAUUCGCACAAUUAGAUAUUUGUUAACUGCUGAAUGAGCAUGCUUUCCUGGGCCACAUCUCUAUCAAGGAUGAGAACAAGAGAAGGCACGCUGUGGUGGGUCAUGAGUAAAAUGUGAUGCUGACACUCUGCACAUAAAAGCCACUAAGAAUGACAAGUCUGGGUGAUUCUGAGAAAGUGUAGGAUAAGUAGUAACAGUAUGGGUAAGGGGUUGCGGAGAGGAAUAAAUAAUGAAGAGGAAAUUUUAAAUUCCUCGUUUUAAUCCCUGAAACAGAUCUUGCUGAAGUAGACGGGUCAUAAAUAAAAAUGAAUUAUUUACUAGAUGUGUUUCCAGUCAUUACUCAUUGACCAUGGAGGUACUUUAAUGAAUAUUAGCCCAAUUAAUAACUACAAGUUUGAAAAGUGUGAGAUAGAUGAUAAAUGUUCUUCAGAUCAUCAGAACUUGAGAUCAGCUAGGUGUGUCCAAAAAGUAAAUUAGAUUAUCAAGUUGACAUAAUUAACUCUAGUACCCUUGAAAGAGAAUAUGCCUUCUCACGUUUUAUUCUCCUUGGAGGAAAAGCAGGCUGUUUGUAAGUAUUCAACUUAAUAAGAGUAAGGGAAUAAGAGGGUGGUUGAGGUUUGGGGCAGUAUAAAACCUGAGAUACCCUCAUUUUUUCUACGAUGAAUACAUAGACUGGUUUUUGAAUGAGGAAUUAGGAGAGAUCUUUCUCUAUAAACGUUAAAAAACAGUCUGUCAUUUCCUCUUUUAUUAUGACUUCAUUUGGGGA